GAGAGUUUGAUCCUGGCUCAGAUUGAACGCUGGCGGCAUGCCUUACACAUGCAAGUCGAACGGCAGCACGGGAGCAAUCCUGGUGGCGAGUGGCGAACGGGUGAGUAAUACAUCGGAACGUGCCCAGUAGUGGGGGAUAGCCCGGCGAAAGCCGGACUAAUACCGCAUACGACCUACGGGUGAAAGCAGGGGAUCGCAAGACCUUGCGCUAUCGGAGCGGCCGAUGUCAGAUUAGCUUGUUGGCGGGGUAAAAGCCCACCAAGGCGACGAUCUGUAGCUGGUCUGAGAGGACGACCAGCCACACUGGGACUGAGACACGGCCCAGACUCCUACGGGAGGCAGCAGUGGGGAAUUUUGGACAAUGGGCGCAAGCCUGAUCCAGCCAUGCCGCGUGCGGGAAGAAGGCCUUCGGGUUGUAAACCGCUUUUGUCAGGGAAGAAACGCUCCGGGCUAAUACCUCGGAGUAAUGACGGUACCUGAAGAAUAAGCACCGGCUAACUACGUG
rnacentral:rRNA from 1 species